AACGAACGCUGGCGGCAUGCCUAACACAUGCAAGUCGAACGUGAUCCUGGGUUUCGGCCUGGGUAAAAGUGGCAGACGGGUGAGUAACGCGUGGGAACCUGCCCUGUGGUAGGGAAUAACUGCGGGAAACUGCGGCUAAUACCCUAUGUGCCCUGAGGGGCAAAGAUUUAUCGCCAUGGGAGGGGCCCGCGUCGGAUUAGGUAGUUGGUAGGGUAACGGCCCACCAAGCCUUCGAUCCGUAGCUGGUCUGAGAGGAUGAUCAGCCACACUGGGACUGAGAUACGGCCCAGACUCCUACGGGAGGCAGCAGUGGGGAAUAUUGGACAAUGGGGGCAACCCUGAUCCAGCAAUGCCGCGUGGGUGAUGAAGGCCUUCGGGUUGUAAAGCCCUUUCGGCGGGGAUGAUGAUGACGGUACCCGCAGAAGAAGCCCCGGCUAACUUCGUGCCAGCCGCCGCGGUAAGAC
rnacentral:rRNA from 1 species